CCCCAUGUUCUCCUACAUUUUAGGAUAAUGGAGAGCAUGACCCUCUCUCCCUAAUAAUUCCCACUUAGCUUAAUUUUAGGUCCACCUUCCUAUUAUUUGGGGAUACCCACCCACGAUCUCCAUUAUCAUGAAUCUCCUUCAUCCUUGACUAUAAAUAUGCUUGUUGGCUUCUUUGGGCACAAAAACGCUCGUCACAUCUCCGGCAUACAAGCCAUGUCAUUGAACUCCUGAUAGAAUGUUAUCCCCCUUUGUCUCUGCCCAAGUUUGCCUCAUCUUGAGUGCACGCUUGGUUGCUUGUGUCAAGAUGGCCUAAGACUGCACCACAGUUGCGCACCGUGCACAUGCUGCCUUGAUGCUGUUGUAUGGUGCGCAUCUGUGACACUCACGUGUCAGUCUGACAUUGCGUGUGCCCAAUGUCACGAUCAUGCUUGUCCAAGGCCGAUUGCCUGUGGCCGCAUGUCCACUCCCACCUCAUUUGAUCAUGCUUUUAUCUUAUGUAUUUCAUUUUGUUAAUUAGCUUGCUUUAUAUAUAGUUUUCAUGUUGUAUGACCGCUCACCACUUUACAUGUGCAAACGUGGCAGAUUACCUUUUGUACAGAAUGUACAUUAUAGACAUAAGACUUAUUGAGUUAUCAUCAUACCUUCAUACCCACGAGUUAUAAGAUAUAAAGUUGUUGUCCCUUAUUACUUAUAGCCUAAUAACGAUCUUUCUUUUUUAAGUAGAGGAAUAAUAGUACAUUAUUUUUACUUCCUUUUUUAAGUAGGUAUAAGAGCAGAAAUAACACUGAAACUCUAAAAAACCCUAAUUUUCUUAAUAACAAAAAUCCCUAACUUAAGGAAAAAAAAAAAAACCCAAAUCCCUUACAGCCUACCGCCUUGAUCGCCAAACUGGAAGCCGUUUUUUUUUUUUUUUUUUUUUUUUGCGUUUUCUUGCUGCAAGUUGGUGGGUUCUUGCAGUUUCUUGUUCGUCAUCUCCAAUCGCCCCUUUCUGUGCCAUUUGCCAUUGAUUUCCGCCACCCACCGUUUUUUACUUCUCUAUUCUUUCAGAUCUGUCUUAAAGAUCCAGUUAUCAGAUCUGUCUUAAAGAUCCAGUUAUCAGAUCUGUUAGAAAUAUUUUUAAACCCUAACCCUUGCCACGCCAACAUUUUCCACUGCCACUGGAACCCUAGCCUCCGAAAUUAUCGGUGCACCCUACUUCUGGUUAAGUUGUACAGCCAUCAACUGCUCACCCAGUUCGUUUUUUUUGGUUCGGUUCUAUUGCUGCUGGUUCAGAAUCUUAUUUCCUGGAUACAAAUCUCACUAUUAUUAAUAUUGAAAAAUGGAGAGACAAAGCUCAACGUACAUGAGGAUUAUACAACAAGCAAUAAAGGAGAGGGGGGAGGAUGGACAGGUCGGGCAUCUCAACUAGGUUGACUUAAAGUUCACUUUAGUAUGGAACAAAUUAAUCAAACUCUGCAACUGCUACAACCCAAUGUCUCAUCCAGUAAUCUCUGUGUUUCCUUGGCACAAAUAGGUAAAACUGGGGUUGUUGCAGGGAGUUACUUUCAAGAACUUCAAAGUUAACAACAGCAAUUUUUAAG